rnacentral:tRNA from 1 species
ACCGCGAUGGCUCAGCUGGUAGAGCAUCUGCCAGGUAUGCGGAGAGUCGUCGGUUGGAUUCCGGCUCUCGGCG